GGGGCCAUAGCUCAGUUGGGAGAGCGUGUGAAUGGCAUUCACAAGGUCAGGGGUUCAAGUCCCCUUGGCUCCACCA
rnacentral:tRNA from 1 species